rnacentral:rRNA from 1 species
CCUACGGGUGGCUGCAGUGGGGAAUAUUGCACAAUGGGGGAAACCCUGAUGCAGCGACGCCGCGUGAGUGAAGAAGUAUCUCGGUACGUAAAGCUCUAUCAGCAGGGACGAAAAUGACGGUACCUGACAAAGAAGCCCCGGCUAACUACGUGCCAGCAGCCGCGGUAAUACGUAGGGGGCAAGCGUUAUCCGGAUUUACUGGGUGUAAUGGGAGCGUAGACGGAAGACUAAGUUGGAGGUGAAAUCCCGGGGCUAACCCCCGAGCUGCGUUGGAAAAUGUGCGGCUUGAGUGGAGGAGGGGUAGGCGGAAUUCCUAGUGUAGCGGUGAAAUGCGUAGAUAUUAGGAGGAACACCGGUGGCGAAGGCGGCUUACUGGGCUUUAACUGACGUUGAGGCUCGAAAGCGUGGGUAGCAAACAGGAUUAGAUACCCGAGUAGUC